rnacentral:lncRNA from 1 species
GGAAACAAGAAUUUGGUAAAAAAAAUUAGGAUUCGGUUGAUGGAAAAUUCCUAAUUCGGUUGUCUCUUUGGAAAGCUAGACAAUUAUCGGUUGCGUGGAGAUUUACGUUAAUAAGAUUGUUUUUGAAUUCGCUCCCAACGUAUUUUUCUCCUUGUUCCAUGCUCCCGUUUAAGUUAAUAAAUAACCUGAAAAAUUAAGGCACAUAUUCUUUUGGGGUAGGUGUGAAGAAAAGGAUAAGAUGAGUUAGAUGGCAUGGGAAAAGGUCACUCUCCCUAUUGAAUAUGGAGGGGUGGGUUUGGGGUCUUUUCUUGAUACUAAUUUGGCCAUGCUAGUGAAAUGGUGGUGGCGUUUCAAGUUGGAACAAGGGGUGUUAUCAAGAAAGGUUGUUUGGUCUUUCAUAGCGGCUCUCGUGCAUUGGAUUUUAUUCCUAGAUUGCUUACAAAUGCGGGUCCGUGGAACUAAAUCAUAAGUAUUAAUAAUGACCUUUCUCACGUUAGUAUAAAUUUGAACAAUUCCACCUGGGGCGUAGAAGGCAAUGGGGGAAGUAAUUCUAUUUUGGAUAGAUCUUUGGCUGAUUUCGAUCUCGCUUAAAGAAGCUUUUCCAAGUCUUUUUAGUAUGGAAAGAAAGAAAGGGUGUACCGUCGCGGAACGGUUGGGCAUGAUCGGGAAACAUAGCAUUUUUUUGGAAGUGGGCUAGGGUCACUAUGGACUUGGUUGAGCAGGCUAAAUUUUAGCAACUGUUGGGCCUUUUAUGGUGGGGCAGAAUUGUGACAAUUGGUUGUGGGCUUUACAUAAUUUGGGCAUUUCAUUGUUAAAUAUCUCAAGGCUUUUAUGGCGGACCAAGGCAACUUUCAGCCCCUUCCAACCUAUGCGUGGAACUCUUGUGUGACAAUCGGCAAAAUUCCGAUGUAAUCAUGGCGAGGGGAUACGAUUAGGUAUGAUUUAUACUUACCGACCGGUGUUCAUCGACACACCACACAUUCCCGUAUCAAGGUAUGCACGAGAGUUCAUCU